rnacentral:rRNA from 1 species
GACGAACGCUGGCGGCGUGCUUAACACAUGCAAGUCGAACGGUGAUGCUCCAGCUUGCUGGAGUGGAUCAGUGGCGAACGGGUGAGUAACACGUGAGCAACCUGCCCCAGACUCUGGAAUAAGCGCUGGAAACGGCGUCUAAUACUGGAUACGAAACUGGCCCGCAUGGGCAUGGUUUGGAAAGUUUUUCGGUUUGGGAUGGGCUCGCGGCCUAUCAGCUUGUUGGUGAGGUAAUGGCUCACCAAGGCGACGACGGGUAGCCGGCCUGAGAGGGCGACCGGCCACACUGGGACUGAGACACGGCCCAGACUCCUACGGGAGGCAGCAGUGGGGAAUAUUGCACAAUGGGCGAAAGCCUGAUGCAGCGACGCCGCGUGAGGGAUGACGGCCUUCGGGUUGUAAAUCUCUUUCAGCAGGGAAGAAGCGAAAGUGACGGUACCUGCAGAAGAAGCACCGGCUAACUACGUG